UGGGGAAUUUUGGACAAUGGGCGAAAGCCUGAUCCAGCAAUGCCGCGUGUGUGAAGAAGGCCUUCGGGUUGUAAAGCACUUUUGUCCGGAAAGAAAUCCUUGGCUCUAAUACAGUCAGGGGAUGACGGUACCGGAAGAAUAAGCACCGGCUAACUACGUGCCAGCAGCCGCGGUAAUACGUAGGGUGCAAGCGUUAAUCGGAAUUACUGGGCGUAAAGCGUGCGCAGGCGGUUUGCUAAGACCGAUGUGAAAUCCCCGGGCUCAACCUGGGAACUGCAUUGGUGACUGGCAGGCUAGAGUAUGGCAGAGGGGGGUAGAAUUCCACGUGUAGCAGUGAAAUGCGUAGAGAUGUGGAGGAAUACCGAUGGCGAAGGCAGCCCCCUGGGCCAAUACUGACGCUCAUGCACGAAAGCGUGGGGAGCAAACAGGAUUAGAUACCCUGGUAGUCCACGCCCUAAACGAUGUCAACUAGUUGUUGGGGAUUCAUUUCCUUAGUAACGUAGCUAACGCGUGAAGUUGACCGCCUGGGGAGUACGGUCGCAAGAUUAAAACUCAAAUGAAUUGAC
rnacentral:rRNA from 1 species